AUGGACUGGACUUGGAGAAUCCUCUUGUUGGUUGCAGCAGUCACAGGUGGCCACUCCCAGGUCCAGCUGGUGCAAUCUGAAGGUAAACUGAAGAAGCCUGGGUCAUCAGUGAAAAUCUCCUGUGAGGCUUCUGGAUACACCUUCACUAGCUACAGUAUGCAUUGGGUGCAGCAGAUCCCUGGACAUGGAUUUGAGUGGAUGGGAAGGAUUUAUACAAGCAAUGGUGAAACAAAGUAUGCACAGAAGUUCCAGGGCAGAGUCACCAUGACCUUGGAAACAUCCAGAAGUACAGCCUACAUGGAUCUAAGCAGUCUGAGCUUUAAGGACACAGCCAUGUAUUACUGUGGAAACACUAUGGUCAGAGGAUGUGACAAGUUUAUGUAUCCAAUUUAA